CGCGGUAAUACGUAGGGGCAAGCUAUCCGGAAUCAUUGGGCGUAAAGAGUACGUAGGUGGUUACCUAAGCAAGGGGUUUAAGGAAUGGCUCAAACCAUUGUUCGCCCCUUGAACUGGGCUACUUGAGUGCAGGAGAGGAAAGCGAAUUCCUAGUGUAGCGGUGAAAUGCGUAGAUAUUAGGAGGAACACCAGUGGCGAAGGCGCUUUCUGGACUGUAACUGACACUGAGGUACGAAAGCGUGGGGAGCAAACAGGAUUAGAUACCUGGUAGUCCACGCCGUAAACGAUGAGCACUAGUUGUCGGGGUCGCAAGACUUCGGUGCGCAGUUAACGCAAUAAGUGCUCCGCCUGGGGAGUACGUUCGCAAGAAUGAAACUCAAAGGAUUGACGGGGACCCGCACAAGCAGCGGAGCAUGUGGUUUAAUUCGAAGCAACGCGAAGAACUUACCAGGGCUUGACAUCCCUCUGACAGGUCCUUAACCGGACCCUUCUUCGGACAGAGGGACAGGUGGUGCAUGGUUGUCGUCAGCUCGUGUCGUGAGAUGUUGGGUUAAGUCCCGCAAGAGCGCAACCCUUGCUGUUAGUUGCCAUCAUUAAGUUGGGCACUCUAACGGGACUGCCGGGAUAACUCGGAGGAAGGUGGGGAUGACGUCAAAUCAUCAUGCCCCUUAUGUUCUGGGCUAACACGUGCUACAAUGGUCGGUACAAAAAGCAGCGAACUCGUGAGGGGGAGCAAAUCUCAAAGCCGAUCCCAGUUCGGAUUGCAGGCUGCAACUCGCCUGCAUGAAGUCGGAGUUGCUAGUAUCGUGGAUCAGAAUGCCACGGUGAAUGCGUUCCCGGGUCUUGCACACACCGCCCGUAA
rnacentral:rRNA from 2 species